CCCUGCCCUAUGAUUAAUUAAAUGGCUGCAGUAUUCUGACUGUGCAAAGGUAGCAUAAUAAUUAGUCUUUUAAUUGAAGGCUUGUAUGAAUGGGUUAAUAAGGAGUUUUUUUUAUUUGCCUUAUAUUUUGAAUUUAAUUUUUAAGUAAAAAAGCUUAAUUUUUUUUUUGGGACGAUAAGACCCUAUAGAACUUUAUUUUUAAUUUUAUUUAAGUAAUUUUAGGUAUAUAUUAUUACUUAGUUUACUUAAUUUUUUCAUUGGGGUGAUGAAUAAAUUUUUACUUUAUUUUUUCAGUUCAUUUAUUUAUGUAUUAGUGAUCCAUAUUUUGAUUUUAAGAUUUAGUUACCUUAGGGAUAACAGCGUAAUUUUAAUGGCGAGUUCUUAUUUAUAUUAAAGUUUGCGACCUCGAUGUUGAAUUAAGAUUAGGUUGGGGGGUAG
rnacentral:rRNA from 1 species